AGCAAAGUGGACUAACGUCUAAGAAGAAUACUGUAACACCCCGAUUUCGGGGAAUAUGGUGGUGCAUGCGGAGAAAUUUAAAAGAACUGAUUUGGCCAUCUAUGUCACCAAAGUGCACUUAUAUUUUCGGUCAAAGGUCCUGAGAGAAUUCCACUGUUAAGCGUGCUUGGGCUGGAGUAGUUUCAGGAUGGAUGACCUUUCGGAAAGUAACUGUCGGAACCAUGCGAGUGAGGACAAAGCAUGGAGAAAGAUCAUGUGGUAAUUUUUAGGGUCGGUAACAAGUCUUUAAAGCCUCCCGGACGUGGCGCACCGACUGUCGGACAGGAGUGUUAUAAGUUUUUU
rnacentral:sRNA from 1 species